ensembl:lncRNA
CCGACCCCGUGGUUCGUUUCCCCCCUUUCGGGCCACAGAAAUCGGCCUCAGGGCACAAAAAUGGAUUCAAAUCUGGAGCUCGUUGAGGAAAUGCCAUCCCAUAAUACCAUAAUCCCACCCUGUAAUCCCAUAAUCCCAGUUUUGACCCCAUAAUCCCAUAAUCCCGACCCCGUAAUCCCAAUCCCGGGUCACGGAAAUGGGCCUCAGGGCACAAAAAUGGACUCAAAUGCGGAUCUUAUAGGCGAAUUGCCAUCCCAUAAUACCACAAUCCCACCCUGUAAUCCCAUAAUCCCAAUCCUGACCCCAUAAUCCCAAUCCCGGUCCCAUAAUCCCAAUCCCAGCCCCAUAAUCCCAACCCCGACCCCAUAAUCCCAGCGUUCCAAAGCUGUGAUCCCAUAAUCCUAUAAUGCCGCCCCGCAAUCCCAUAAUCCCACCCCAUAUUCCCAUAAUCCCACCCCAUAUUCCCAUAAUCCCACCCCAUAAUCCCAUAAUCCCACCCCAUAUUCCCAUAAUCCCACCCCAUAUUCCCAUAAUCCCACCCCAUAAUCCCAUAAUCCUAGCCCACAAUCCCAUAAUCCCUCCCUAUAAUCCCACCCCAUAAUCCCAUAAUCCCACCCCGUAAUCCCAUAAUCCCAUUCCCAUAAUCCCAUAACGCUAUAAUCCCAAUCCCAUAACCCCAUAAUCCCAAUCCCAUAUGGCCCUUUGAGACCCCCCCCCACAUUCUAUUGGACCCCCCCACCCCAUAAAAUCCCCCCAUAUCCCUUAACCCCCCCCCCAUUUUUGGGGACCCCCUUCCAAAAUAAAUCCCCCAUGGCCCGUUAAGAGCCCCCCUCAUUUUUAGGGGACCCCCCCAAAAACUCUGCAAUGUCCCUUUAAAUCCCCCCCCCCCCAUUUUUGGGGACCCCCUCCAAAAUAAAUCCCCCGUGGCCCUUUAAGAGCCCCCCUCAUUUUUAGGGGACCCCCCAAAAUACUCCGCAAUGUCCCUUUAAAUCCCCCCCCAUUUUAUUGCCCCCCCAAACCCCCCCAUGACCCUUUAAGAGCCCCC